ensembl:lncRNA
CAUGGACAGUGGACCUCUGCGCUCGGUUGGUGCUGAAAAUAUGUAUCGGCUUCGGGCACCUCCGUACAAUCUACCUGCCGAUAUCGUUCGUGUCUUGGAUUAAAAAACGCCUAGCCGUUUUCUCAGCACAUGCACCGAAGGCCUCGACCAGUGAAAACGAACAACUUCAGAUACUUAUCUUUUAGGCGUACACUGCCGUAAUGGAAAGGGACAAUGUAGCUAUCUAGCCAAAUUGCUAACACUGAGAGGACCCAGCACCAAAACUUCGUAUGGAGAUUAAAACGGUUAUCAAUCUAAUCUAUCAACGGAGGACAUUCACGCGAUUUGGGAUUUAUUCACUCACGGAGCCGGUGUGACUCCAUAUAGCUAACGUUACAGGAGCUGUAUCCCGGCAGACAUCUAGAGGCCCUGCCACACACAUCUGGCUAAAGAGAGGAAGAUCACAAGUGACACCACAGCGGGGGUGGAGAGAGCGACCGUGCCCGUUGGAAAACCUGUUGGAUUUAAGUUCUCUUUAUUACAGAUUAUCACACUGCUCUCCUAACUGCCACCCUCCCCCUUCACACACACACCCACACACACUCGCACAGACACACACUCACACAGACGUAGAGACGGACACGAACAGAGACGGAUAGACGGAGACUAACACAGACACACACACUCCUCUAGAAGUAGCCCUAGAGAGUCACAUAAACGUCUCACAGUCACUCAGACUUGCGCUCCGAGACUCAGUUGGUUCUCAGGGGUCGUGGUGGGAGGGUGCCCCCCCCCCCUCUCGUUGCACUCCGCUGGGGGACGGAAGUAGAGGAAUGGCCCUGGGGGAAUGGCUGGCUGGCUGCCUCGCUCAGUGAGACGGAGGCUUAUGUAACUAACAAGCCCGCCUCAUCUUUCUCUCCUUGGCUAGCUAACACAGCUGGGCCUUGAGUCUACAGACACUGGGGAGGAGCUCAUCAGCCCCCCCACUAGGGAAUACAGCUUCCAGCUUCUAAUCUUCAGGCCCUCAUCCUUCCUCUCUGGGUUCAACUUCACAUUGCUAUUUUUUAAUUUUUUUAAUCCUUUUUAUUUUUUCAACCAUUUUUUCAGGAGGACAUUUUAAGGGUGUUUUGGAUAUGUGGGAUCGACCGCUGAGACUUCCUGCUUGUCUCCCAUUGGCUCAGGGAUGCCCCGACCAGAAAGAACAAAGUCUGAGAGUCCGUCUACGCGCACAUUGGCGUUUUUUAAGACGCUGUUUGGACUGAAGGGACAGCCAUUUAAUUAGUAAGGAAACUAGCUGACUUCUUGAUAUUCGUCUUCGCUGAUUUUUUUUGCUCUCGUUUUGAUGUUUUGUUUUUCCUAUCUCAUAUGACGAUUGAGAGACAAGACAGACAAGAAUCCACUUGGCCACAAUCAAAGGCCAUUUUGCUCUGCCUUUCUCUCUCCCUUGGUUUUUCUCUCUCCCUCAUUAUGCAUAUCGACUACCUGUUUACACACUAGACCAGCUACAGUGAUAGCCUACCUUUCUAUCGAGGCAGAAAAGAAACGAUUAAGUUGCGACCUUUUUAUGUCUUUUACCUGUGACAAAUCAAAAACCUUGCAGUCGGUCUCUACCUCCUCAAUCGCUUCAAACCCUUUUAAAAACGUCUGUGUCAGAACCAAAUCCAUACUCAGUCGAAUCUGCAUCACAGACCGAGUAGUGUACAGACUGAGCAGUCGACAGACCGUCCAAGCUACAGACCAAAACAACCUGUCAUCUUAGUCUGGGUGGGGAGAAGGUUAUUAGGUCGAUGUCAUUGAACUGGACCAGAGAUCUUUGAAAUAUUAAGUUAUUGCUGCGGGCUUUCAUUGAACAGGGAAUGUAUAGCAGGUCAACCAAGGUGAUCUGCCUCAUCCCCUGUACCUAACUGACAUUUUGACGCCCGAAAGUCGAGUUGUGUUUUUGAAACCAUUUCAAAGGCGACUAGAUGAGAGUAGGAUUGUAAUGAAUUAAGAAGAAAUGUAAGUUAAAACUGCUUUCACAAUCAUCCGCAUUAUGUUUUACUAGGACAUCCUACUUGUUUUCAUUUGAAAAGGGAGCGUCCAAGGUUUUUAUAUUCCACACCCAAACAAUCAAGCCAUAUCACAGCUUGUUCCUCUUUUCUAUUUGUUGCACUAUUUUAUUUUUGUAUCGUAAAAUCACUAAGCCUUCAAUGAAGUUAUUUACCUCUCGCACGCACGCACACAUUUCUUGAAAUUCCCCUUUAAAAUGUCAAGGCGUUGACCCAAAUCCACUGUAAGGAACCAGUUUAAAGACUAAAGGAAAAACCAAGCAAUUCAAAAGUAUCAGCCUUGAGAUUGACACACGAUUGAGCAGAAGUUGUUGUUGU